CUGGGUGUCCCGUUUUCCCCCUUCACACUGUCUGCAGAGCCUCUCCUGCUUUCACCCUCCUCCAGUCCCUGCCCGGGAGAGAGAUCUGAGGCUGGCUAAAAGCAAAGAGACCAUUUAGCUUCUCCAGGGGGGAUUAGCAACAGCCUCUGGUGCUAAAGAAUUGAUGUGAUUAUCCUUGGAUAUAGCAAUAUUUUGCUCUCUCCAUUUCUGAUUGUGACCGUGGCUGCUGCAUUCUCUUUAAUUUAUGUUGCAGGGACUCCAAACUGCGUCUCCCCCUGUGAUCCUGGACUCCGGAUACAAUUAGCAAAAAUUACAAAGGUGUAUUUGGAAGUUACAGAAACUAGACAAAUCAACAGUCACAUUGCCGGCGAAGCCAGACGAGGAAGCAGUUUAAGCUGUGAAUUUCUUCUUCACCCCACAUAGAACAGUGACGACCAUCAUUUUUGUCUUCACCAUAGAGAGAUGCUUUGUGAACAAGGUGAGGAUUUAAUGCUUUUUAUUUCUCUCAUGAGGGUACACUGCCCUUUCUUUUGGU
rnacentral:lncRNA from 1 species